CCUACGGGAGGCAGCAGUGGGGAAUAUUGGACAAUGGGCGCAAGCCUGAUCCAGCAAUGCCGCGUGAGUGAUGAAGGCCUUCGGGUUGUAAAGCUCUUUCGCCCGCGAGGCGGUAGCGGGAGAAGAAGCCCCGGCUAACUUCGUGCCAGCAGCCGCGGUAAUACGAAGGGGGCGAGCGUUGUUCGGAUUUACUGGGCGUAAAGGGCGCGUAGGCGGCGUAUCAAGUCAGGCGUGAAAGCCCCGGGCUCAACCUGGGAAUGGCGCUUGGGACUGGUAUGCUUGAGUUCGGGAGAGGAGAGUGGAAUUCCCAGUGUAGAGGUGAAAUUCGUAGAUAUUGGGAAGAACACCGGUGGCGAAGGCGGCUCUCUGGACGAACUGACGCUGAGGCGCGAAAGCGUGGGGAGCAAACAGGAUUAGAUACCCUUGUAGUC
rnacentral:rRNA from 1 species